CAUUGAGUAAAGGAACAAAUCACAGGCAUAAUUCUAUAGCACGAUCUGCCAGGAACAAAGUUAAGCUUUGUCCUAGGAGACUAAACAAAUUCUGAAGUACCCAAAUACAAAGUAUAGUCAAACGAAGGAGAGCAUCUCCACAUAAUUAUUUUCUCUUAACCAAGCUCGAAAAGAUCUAUAGGCAUAUGACCGGGUAGUUAUGAGAUCAUAGUAUAUAUUCAGGAAACCUUCAGCAAUUCAAAAUAACACCCAACAGCAAGCGCUCCACAAAUUAAGUAAGAGCGUUCAAUAGAACAUGUCAUCUAUGUCGUCUUCCACAAUGUAAAUGACCCACAAACAUUAAACGUUAAACAUAGCAUCAAAGGAAAUUGAGAAAACUGUAACUUAGCUAUAAAUUAAUCUCAGAAUGUCCAAACUCGUUGGCCUUCAGGGCUCUGUUUUAGUGAUUCCCAAAUUUCCAAUCUCGGAUCCCGACAGCUUGUUGGACCCCUUUGGGGGAAGAAUUACAUACGUCUUGCAAUACCAGCUUCAUGCUCUGUUAUUCAGAUUCCCACCCUCAAGUACAAAUUCCAAAAGGAAAAUAUUAGCAAUAAUUAUCAAAGAAACAUUAGUGAUGCUAAAUUGAGCAACAGACCCAGCAAAAAUCUGCCUCUACGGCCAAAGAUUAACCAAAUCUUGGUGAAAGAAAUCAGCAGCAGAAAUAAAAGUUAAAAGAGAGAAAAAAGGAAAGGAGCUUUUCCCCGGAGCUGCUUCGGAAUUGAGAUGCUAAGAGCUGGCUGGAGCUUCUCCUCACUCGCGCAGCGGAGGCUGCCAAAGUUCCCUUCGCUGGUGCCCUGCUGAGGAGUUCUUCGAUGCUCGGCAGGAAGCGGGCUGUAAUUCCCUGGUUGCAAAGAAGCGGCGAUUUGUGGUCGGCAGCGAGCAAUCUCCAGAACCCAGUGUGCGAUAAUCGGCGACUAGAGCACAGAGGUAAGCUUUGGGAUCUUCGACUCGGGUCAAUUUAACGACAAAAUCAGGGGCUCCAGAGCCCGGUGCAAGAGGGGACGAACUCCGGUGCUAGAGCACGAUGACGACAACCGAUUUGGUGGCUAGCGAGAUGGCCGAUGUUGGCCGUAGAUGACGAAUCUGGCAAUCGCCUGAGGUGCGGGUUGUUGUUGCUCUAGAAAUGAUCUCAGUUGGGGGCAGCAACAAGCUGCACAAUCUCCCCCUGAACCUCGAGGCAAAAAUUAAGCAAACAAACAUAAGAUAAGUCCAACAAUGGCUGACCCUAAUCAUGAAACUAAAUGAGAAAAUCGUUCGUAAAUAAAAGUUCUCCCUAUUGAAUUUAAAGACUCGGCGCGAUUUUGAUGGAAAUCAACGCGGUUCCAAUGGGCUGCGGAGCUUUGAUGCCCUCAAACUUUGAGGUUUAUCCCUUUACAGCAUUCUUCGGCGAAAAAUCGAUAUUCUAUUGAUUUCAAGGAGGGCAGAUUUUGUUGCGAAUCGGCUUUGGGGUUUUCGGAUUUUAGGGUUCGAUUCUUUGGGUUUCUGCUGGAAUUGAUAGCCGAAGCUAGUGAGGGCUGCGGUAGAGAAAGAACUGCGGUGAAGACCUUUAGGGAGGAGGUUUUGGGGCUACUGCGUGGAGAUCUGGUACGCCGGAGAUUUUGGGGCUGCUGCGGUGGAAAUCUGGUACGCCGGAGAUUUUGGGGCUGCUGCGGUGGAAAUCUGGUACGCUGAAAGCAGGGCCAACCAUACCCGCCGGAAAAACCUUAAGCUCAACUCAAUUUCCCUUCCGUGAACAGUAACCUUUUUUUGUUUUUUCGAUGAACAGUAAAUCCGAAUCUGGAAAUUUCGAAAAUCGAGAAGAAUGUUCCUCGAAACUCACGCCUUAAGCUCAAUUUCCCACAGACGGCGCCAGUUGGUGAAGCACUCAAUCACCAACACCUAAACUAGAAACUAAAAAGCAAUAAACGACACACGGAUUUACGUGGUUCGAUCGUUAAGACCUACAUCCACGGGAGUUUUUUGUUGGUUUUCACUAUAGCUUAAGAAAGUUUACAUUUUACAAGUGUGUUGCUGGAAUGAGUUGAUCCCCUAGUUUUCCAAUAGAUGUACUAUUUAUAGUUUGUGAGCAAACCCUAAUUCUAAAAGCCCACUCAUCUAGUCAAUUGGGCCCAAAACUCAGUACAAUGGUCUUAUUCCCGAAGUUGAACUAUCAUACGUAGCUGCGCAGGAAAGGCACUUUGGUGGCGCUGCUCUGACUGCGCAGCGCUGCCGCGCUGCUUUGGUCUGCGCUGCUCUGCUUUGGUCUGCGCUGCUCUGGUCUGGUCUGCGCUGCUCUGGUUUGGCUGCGCGGCUGCACGGGAAAGCUACUUGGCUGCGCAGGAAGGUACCUUGGCUGCGUGGGAAGGUUUCUGUGUGCAAUCAUUCUUCACUCCAUCUACUUAGGUGGAUUUCUUACUCUUUUAUCUAAGAUAUCCGAUCGUACCUGCGCUGUUAGUUUCUGUAAUAAUAUUAAUAAUAAUAAGAUAAAAUAGGCUUAGAUUGCUAAGCACAGCGCUGAUGGGAAUUACAGUCCUCAUCAGCUACUCCCCCCUAGUCUAGUUGAACAGCGUUCUCUUUGUUCAACUAGUGGUGUGUGGUGUGAAGUCAGUGCUGUGCUGCUCUCCCGUGUCAAUUAAGCAUACACGAUUCCCUGCGACUUAUUAGACAAGAACUGUCAAUCUUUGCAAAAAUGAUAAAGACAAAGUAUUUUAAUGCUGGAAAUAAGCUGAGAUAAAAGAGAUAGUAAUUAUUCCUUUUGAUUCAUCGAACAUCAUUAAAGAUAAUAAGGGCUUAGAUAACCUGUGCUGGGAAGACUCAAGUGAUCUGCGUUGACAACCUCGCGCUGACUGCGCUGCACCGACUGCGCUGACAACCCCGCGCUGACUGCGCUGCACCGACUGCGCUGACAACCC
rnacentral:lncRNA from 1 species